AUGUGUAGAAAGGUAUACCUUGAUAGACGAUAUCGUAACGGAGAACAUGUUUUGUGUUGGAAACGAAACAAUGAAGUUUUUCGCGGAAGGUGACUCAGGAGGAUGUGUAUUUUAUCAAAAUGCGACUACAAAUGAUACAGUAUGCGUUGGUCUUAUCUCUUGGGCUGCGAUUGAUAUAGUGCUGCCGUGGCCGCAAGUGCUGGUAAAACUUUCAAAUUUUCACGAUUGGAUCUUUUCAAGAAGACAACUUUCCGUCAUGCUAGCGACAAAUACAAUCACUAAGUUGCAAAUAAAUUGAAAUACAGCUCUCAACUCCUUACCUUUGAAGAUUGCCGAAACUUCUACCCAUACCAUGAAGAAUAUCUAUCAAGCGUGUUAUUUUAUUUAUGGAAAAAAUUGUUAAAGUAGAAAAUAGUAAAACCAAAGUCACGAAUGCGUGCUAUGCAGAGCUAAGUAAACAGCCCAAUAAAUCCACAAAACCAACG